rnacentral:rRNA from 1 species
AUUUGGAGAGUUUGAUCCUGGCUCAGGACGAACGCUGGCGGCGUGCCUAAUACAUGCAAGUCGAGCGGAGCUUAUCCUUCGGGAUAAGCUUAGCGGCGGACGGGUGAGUAACACGUAGGCAACCUACCCUCUAGACUGGGAUAACUACCGGAAACGGUAGCUAAUACC